AUUGAACGCUGGCGGCAUGCUUUACACAUGCAAGUCGAACGGCAGCGCGGGCUUCGGCCUGGCGGCGAGUGGCGAACGGGUGAGUAAUGCAUCGGAACGUGCCCAGUAGUGGGGGAUAGCCCGGCGAAAGCCGGAUUAAUACCGCAUACGACCUGAGGGUGAAAGCGGGGGACCGAAAGGCCUAGCGCUAUUGGAGCGGCCGAUGUCGGAUUAGCUAGUUGGUGGGGUAAAGGCUUACCAAGGCGACGAUCCGUAGCUGGUCUGAGAGGACGACCAGCCACACUGGGACUGAGACACGGCCCAGACUCCUACGGGAGGCAGCAGUGGGGAAUUUUGGACAAUGGGGGCAACCCUGAUCCAGCCAUGCCGCGUGCGGGAAGAAGGCCUUCGGGUUGUAAACCGCUUUUGUUCGGGAAGAAAUCCUCUGGGCUAAUACCCCGGGGGGAUGACGGUACCGGAAGAAUAAGCACCGGCUAACUACGUG
rnacentral:rRNA from 1 species